rnacentral:rRNA from 1 species
AUUGAACGCUGGCGGCAUGCCUAAUACAUGCAAGUCGAGCGGAUGAAGGGAGCUUGCUGCUGGAUUCAGCGGAGGACGGGUGGGUAAUGCCUAGGAAGCUGCCUGGUAAUGGGGGAUAACGUCCGGAGAGGGGCGCUAAUACCGCAUACGUUCUGAGGGAGAAAGUGGAGGAUCUUCGGACCUCACGGUAUCAGAUGAGCCUAGGUCGGAUUAGCUAGGUGGUGGGGUAAAGGCCUACCAAGGCGACGAUCCGUAACUGGUCUGAGAGGAUGAUCAGUCACACUGGAACUGAGACACGGUCCAGACUCCUACGGGAGGCAGCAGUGGGGAAUAUGGGACAAUGGGCGAAAGCCUGAUCCAGCCAUGCCGCGUGUGUGAAGAAGGUCUUCGGAUUGUAAAGCACUUUAAGUUGGGAGGAAGGGCAGUAAGUUAAUACCUUGCUGUUUUGACGUUACCAACAGAAUAAGCACCGGCUAACUUCGUG